UCCCCUCCCUCUUCUCCUCCCAGUACCUCUCCACCUCCCUCCUAUCUGGAUCCACCCUUUUCUGUUUCUCAUUAGAAAACAGACAGGCUUCCAAGGGGUUAAAAUAAAAUAUAAUAAGAGAAAACAAAAUCAGAAUGGGACAAAACAUACAAACAGAAAGAAAAGAGCUCCAAUAAAAAGGAGCUCAAAAAGGAGCACAAGAAACAGAUAUUGACACAGAGAACCCAUUCACUCACUCAGGAAUCCCAUAAAAACGCUAAACCGGAAGUCAUAAAAUAUAUGCAAAGGAUCUGUGUGGUUUAAUGGAUGUCUACUGUGUACCUGAUACUGCAGUAAGUGCUAGCCAUUUGUUAUCACAUCCAAUUCCCAAGUGGGCAUGCCAUCGCCCAUGCUCAUUUUACAAAUGAGAAAACUCAGGUCCAGGAAAGGGAAUGGUGCGUCUAAGUCACAGAGCUGAUGAUCAGCAGAGCCAGGAGUCACAAUCAGGUCUCAGACAAACCACUGGGCAAAGAUACUGAUUCCCUGGUCUCUCUAUAAAUGCAUGUACUACCUGGUGUCCCUUCAUAGUACAGGAGCCUCCUGCCUUCAUGAGCAACAGAAUAGCAGGUGCUGUCAUUAGGCAAACCUGGUAUGGAUGCUGAGGCAAUCCUAUGGGUCCAGCAUGUCAUUACCCAUCCUUUCUUCCUUACACACAUGUGAAGUCUUAGGAUUAAGUACCAUCUUUUGGAACGUGGAAACUAUAUUAAACACGUGGUGAUCAGUGUGGACAUUGCACCUGUUUCUAAAGAAAAGACCAUCCUCAACUUCCACCCUCUUCCCGGCAAACCUGCCUCCGAGCAAAUGAACCGAAGGUAUAAACCCAUGCAAUCAGCCCCAACUGCAAAGUGCUGAGUGAUUUUGAUGUCUCAAGCUACAGUAGAAUUUUCCAAACAAUAUGCGUCUAAACAGAAGCCAUCGGUUUCACCCACUGACCAACUGAAAACACCUAUAGCUCAGGAGCCUCCAGAAUGUGGACUCCUGAGAAGGACACUUUGUCUAUGCUCAACAGGGGACCUUCCCAAGAGAGUCACACCAGCAGUUUUCACUCAUCCAUUUUUCUCAUGGAUGCUGAUUGUAGGAUCUAGCCAACCUUCAUCAGCCAGGGUUUUCUGCUGGGGAACCCCAGAAGUGUAAGAUCCCAUAAAGCAAAGUGCAACAGGAGAAGAAUUCAAGGCAAUUUUACUCAACCUGG
rnacentral:lncRNA from 1 species